AUUGAACGCUGGCGGCAGGCCUAACACAUGCAAGUCGAACGAGUGGCGGACGGGUGCGUAAUGUCUGGGAAACUGCCUGAUGGAGGGGGAUAACUACUGGAAACGGUAGCUAAUACCGCAUACCAUCGGAUGUGCCCAGAUGGGAUUAGCUAGUAGGUGGGGUAACGGCUCACCUCGGAGACGAUCCCUAGCUGGUCUGAGAGGGUGACCAGCCACACUGGAACUUAGCCACGGUCCAGACUCCGACGAGAGGCAGCAGUGGGGAAUAUUGCACAAUGGGCGCAAUCCUGAUGCAGCCAUGCCGCGUGUAUGAAGAAGGCCUUCGGGUUGUAAAGUACUUUCAGCGGGGAGGCGUUACCCGCAGAAGAAGCACCGGCUAACUCCGUGCCAGCAGCCGCGGUAAUUC
rnacentral:rRNA from 1 species